rnacentral:rRNA from 1 species
GACGAACGCUGGCGGCGUGCUUAACACAUGCAAGUCGAACGAUGAAGCCCUUCGGGUGGAUUAGUGGCGAACGGGUGAGUAACACGUGGGCAAUCUGCCCUUCACUCUGGGACAAGCCCUGGAAACGGGGUCUAAUACCGGAUAUGACACACGGCCGCAUGGUCUGUGUGUGGAAAGCUCCGGCGGUGAAGGAUGAGCCCGCGGCCUAUCAGCUUGUUGGUGGGGUGANGGCCUACCAAGGCGACGACGGGUAGCCGGCCUGAGAGGCGACCGGCCACACUGGGACUGAGACACGGCCCAGACUCCUACGGGAGGCAGCAGUGGGGAAUAUUGCACAAUGGGCGAAAGCCUGAUGCAGCGACGCCGCGUGAGGGAUGACGGCCU